rnacentral:rRNA from 1 species
UACGAAGGGGGCUAGCGUUGCUCGGAUUGACUGGGCGUAAAGGGCGCGUAGGCGGUUCGUACAGUCAGACGUGAAAUUCCUGGGCUCAACCUGGGGGCUGCGUUUGAUACGUGCGGACUUGAGUGCGGAAGAGGGUCGUGGAAUUCCCAGUGUAGAGGUGAAAUUCGUAGAUAUUGGGAAGAACACCCGUGGCGCAAGCGGCCACCUGGCCAAGAGCUGACGCUGAGGCACGAGAGCGUGGGGAGCGAACCGG